ACUCAAAUGAAUUGACGGGGGCUCACACAAGCGGUGGAGCAUGUGGCUUAAUUCGAGGCUACGCGAAGAACCUUAUCCUGGGCUUGACAUGUGCGAAAGCGGUAGCAAGUAGGGGGCGGAAACGUUCUCCGAUCGGUAUCCAGUCCGGAAGCUACUACAGGUGCUGCAUGGCUGUCGUCAGCUCGUGUCGUGAGAUGUCGGGUUAAGUCCCAUAACGAGCGAAACCCUUGCUUUCAGUUGCCAGCGAGUAAUGUCGGGGACUCUGGAAGGACUGCCGGUGUUAAACCGGAGGAAGGUGGGGAUGACGUCAAGUCCUCAUGGCCUUUAUGCCCAGGGCUGCACACGUGCUACAAUGGCAUGAACAAAGGGACGCAAACCCGCGAGGGGGAGCAAAUCCCAAAAAACAUGCCCCAGUUCAGAUCGAAGGCUGCAACUCGCCUUCGUGAAGUUGGAAUCGCUAGUAAUCGCAGGUCAGCAACACUGCGGUGAAUGUGUUCCUGAGCCUUGCACACACCGCCCGU
rnacentral:rRNA from 1 species